rnacentral:rRNA from 1 species
GACGAACGCUGGCGGCGUGCUUAACACAUGCAAGUCGAACGGAAAGGCCCUGCUUUUGUGGGGUGCUCGAGUGGCGAACGGGUGAGUAACACGUGAGUAACCUGCCCUUGACUUUGGGAUAACUUCAGGAAACUGGGGCUAAUACCGGAUAGGAGCUCCUGCUGCAUGGUGGGGGUUGGAAAGUUUCGGCGGUUGGGGAUGGACUCGCGGCUUAUCAGCUUGUUGGUGGGGUAGUGGCUUACCAAGGCUUUGACGGGUAGCCGGCCUGAGAGGGUGACCGGCCACAUUGGGACUGAGAUACGGCCCAGACUCCUACGGGAGGCAGCAGUGGGGAAUAUUGCACAAUGGGCGGAAGCCUGAUGCAGCAACGCCGCGUGCGGGAUGACGGCCUUCGGGUUGUAAACCGCUUUCGCCUGUGACGAAGCGUGAGUGACGGUAAUGGGUAAAGAAGCACCAGCUAACUACGUG